UGGGGGAUAUUGCACAAUGGAGGAAACUCUGAUGCAGCAACGCCGCGUGAAGGAUGAAGGUCUUCGGAUUGUAAACUUUUGUACUUGGAGACGAUAAUGACGGUACCCAAGCAGCAAGCUCCGGCUAACUACGUGCCAGCAGCCGCGGUAAUACGUAGGGAGCAAGCGUUGUCCGGAUUUACUGGGUGUAAAGGGUGCGUAGGCGGCUAUGCAAGUCAGUUGUGAAAACUAUGGGCUCAACCCAUAGCCUGCAAUUGAAACUGCGUGGCUUGAGUGAAGUAGAGGUAGGUGGAAUUCCCGGUGUAGCGGUGAAAUGCGUAGAGAUCGGGAGGAACACCAGUGGCGAAGGCGACCUACUGGGCUUUAACUGACGCUGAGGCACGAAAGCAUGGGUAGCAAACAGGAUUAGAUACCCUGGUAGUCCAUGCCGUAAACGAUGAUUACUAGGUGUGGGGGUCUGACCCCCUCCGUGCCGGAGUUAAGCACAAUAAGUAAUCCACCUGGGGAGUACGACCGCAAGGUUGAAAC
rnacentral:rRNA from 1 species